UUUCCGUAGGUGAACCUGCGGAAGGAUCAUUAAUGUGUUGUCAUGGGGUUCGAUGCUGGCAGCCAAUUUUUGGAUGCAUGUGCUUGCCCUAACAAUCAUCUUCCAAACACCUGUGCACAUUUUUGAGGGAGUCUUGAGUUGGUUGCCGCUCUUGGGUGAUUUUCUCACAUUCCCUUAAAUCAUUAUACGCUAUUAACAAUGUUGAACGUGCUCUGUGCCGCAAGGCUAUUAAUAUAAUACAACUUUUAACAACGGAUCUCUUGGCUCUC
rnacentral:misc_RNA from 1 species